rnacentral:rRNA from 1 species
GUGAAAUUGUUGAAAGGGAAGCGCUUGCAGCCAGACUUGCCUGUAGUUGCUCAUCCGGGUUUUUACCCGGUGCACUCUUCUAUAGGCAGGCCAGCAUCAGUUUGGGCGGUUGGAUAAAGGUCUCUGUCAUGUACCUCUCUUCGGGGAGAACUUAUAGGGGAGACGACAUGCAACCAGCCUGGACUGAGGUCCGCGCAUCUGCUAGGAUGCUGGCGUAAUGGCUGUAAGCGGCCCGUCUUGAAACACGGACCAAGGAGUCUAACAUCUAUGCGAGUGUUUGGGUGUCAAGCCCGAGCGCGUAAUGAAAGUGAACGGAGGUGGGAACCUUUCGGGGUGCACCAUCGACCGAUCCUGAUGUCUUCGGAUGGAUUUGAGUAAGAGCAUAGCUGUUGGGACCCGAAAGAUGGUGAACUAUGCUUGAAUAGGGUGAAGCCAGAGGAAACUCUGGUGGAGGCUCGCAGCGGUUCUGACGUGCAAAUCGAUCGUCAAAUUUGGGCAUAGGGGCGAAAGACUAAUCGAACUAUCUAGUAGCUGGUUCCUGCCGAAGUUUCCCUCAGGAUAGCAGUAACGUUUUCAGUUUUAUGAGGUAAAGCGAAUGAUUAGAGGCCUGGGGGUUGAAACAACCUUCACCUAUUCUCAAACUUUAAAUAUGUAAGAAGUCCUUGUUGCUUAAUUGAACGUGGACAGUUGAAUGUAUCGUUACUAGUGGGCCAUUUUUGGUAAGCAGAACUGGCGAUGCGGGAUGAACCGAACGCGGGGUUAAGGUGCCAGAAUAUACGCUCAUCAGACACCAC